AUACACGUUUAGGGCUUCCACAAACCAUGAGUGACACCUAGCAGCAUAUCAUGGUUACCCAAGCUAAUCAGAAAAGGUGGAGAACCUAUUCAGUUUAGGAUUACAAAUGCAAUACGGUCUUUCUCAAUACAAUACUCUUGACCACAUUGUUUGGUUUGAUAGUUUAUUCAUGUCUACUAUCAAAUGUGAUUCGUGUGCUUAUAUGAUUACCUUGAAUGUGAUUUGGAACGACUUCCUAAAUCUCAUUCAUACUCUGGCCAGAGAUUCUUAAUCAUAUCAUAGAGUAUUCUCCCUCAAACGGUUUGAAGGUUAGAGAUCCCUUGUUGCGCAUUUAAUUGCCUCCAUGGCUAAGUGGCUUAACCCCAACUAUGCCGUGGACACCCUCCUGAUGGAGUGACUUUUGACAUAAUCAAAGAUCAAGGACUUAACCACAAGACAACUAUGAUGCCUCAGGUC
rnacentral:lncRNA from 1 species